GCCGAGGUGGUGGAAUGGCAGACACGCCAGUCUCAAAAACUGGUGGGGUUACACCCAUGAGGGUUCAACUCCCUCCCUCGGCA
rnacentral:tRNA from 1 species